UACGGGGGGUGCGAGCGUUGUCCGGAAUCACUGGGCGUAAAGGGCGCGUAGGUGGUUUGAUAAGGGUGUGGUGAAAGUCCGGGGCUCAACUCCGGAUCUGCCGUGCCGACUGUCAAACUCGAGGACUGUAGAGGCAGACGGAAUUCCGGGUGUAGCGGUGGAAUGCGUAGAGAUCCGGAGGAGACCGGUGGCGAAGGCGGUCUGCUGGGCAGUUCUGACACUGAGGCGCGGAACAGCGUGGGAGCAACAGGG
rnacentral:rRNA from 1 species